GGGAAGGUGGCUCAGUGGUAGAGUGCUUGCCUUGCAUGCAUGAGGCCCUGGGUUCAAUUCCUCACUACCA
rfam:Dipodomys ordii contig_17645, whole genome shotgun sequence.